AUUGAACGCUGGCGGCAGGCCUAACACAUGCAAGUCGAGCGAACGGCGGACGGGUGAGUAAUUUCUGGGAAACUGCCUGGUGGAGGGGGCUUACUGCUUGGAACGGUAGCUAAUACCGCAUACCAUCAGAUGCGCCCAGAUUGGAUUAGCUAGUAGGUGGGGUAAUGGCUCACCUAGGCGACGAUCCCUAGCUGGUCUGAGAGGAUGACCAGCCACACUGGGACUGAGACACGGUCCAGACUCCUACGGGAGGCAGCAGUGGGGAAUAUUGCACAAUGGGCGAAAGCCUGAUGCAGCAAUGCCGCGUGUAUGAAGAAGGUCUUCGGGUUGUAAAGUACUGUCAGCGGGGAGGCGUUAAUCGCAGAAGAAGCACCGGCUAACUACGUGCCAGCAGCCGCGGUAAUUC
rnacentral:rRNA from 1 species